rnacentral:rRNA from 1 species
GAGUUUGAUCUUGGCUCAGAGUGAACGCUGGCGGCAGGCCUAACACAUGCAAGUCGAACGGCAGCGCAGCCCCGCAAGGGGUGGGCGGCGAGUGGCGGACGGGUGAGGAAUACAUCGGAAUCUACCUUGUCGUGGGGGAUAACGUAGGGAAACUUACGCUAAUACCGCAUACGACCUACGGGUGAAAGCGGCGGACCGCAAGGCGUCGCGCGAUUGGAUGAGCCGAUGUCCGAUUAGCUAGUUGGCGGGGUAAAGGCCCACCAAGGCGACGAUCGGUAGCUGGUCUGAGAGGAUGAUCAGCCACACUGGAACUGAGACACGGUCCAGACUCCUACGGGAGGCAGCAGUGGGGAAUAUUGAACAAUGGGCGCAAGCCUGAUCCAGCCAUGCCGCGUGUGUGAAGAAGGCC